GAUGAACGCUAGCUACAGGCCUAACACAUGCAAGUCGAGGGACCGGCGCACGGGUGAGUAACACGUAUCCAACCUGCCCUUUACUCGGGGAUAGCCUUUCGCAAGAAAGAUUAAUACCCGAUGUAAAGGAUGGGGAUGCGUUCCAUUGGUUUGUUGGUGAGGUACAGGCUAGCCAAGCCUUCGAUGGAUAGGGGUUAGGAGAGGAAGGUCCACCACAUUGGAACUGAGACACGGUCCAAAAUCCGACGGAAGACAGCAGUAAGGAAUAUUGGUCAAUGGGCGUUAACCUGAACAAGCCAAGUGGCGUGAAGGAGGAAGGCUUAUGAGUCGUAAACUUCUUUUAUAUAAGAAGAUGUAUUAUAUGAAUAAGGAUCGGCUAACUCCGUGCCAGCAGCCGCGGUAAUAC
rnacentral:rRNA from 1 species